rnacentral:lncRNA from 1 species
GUUGUGGGAAAGGUGUGAUGUGUAGCGCUGAAAAUGCAGUAGGGAACUAGAGGAGGUGAGGGAUGAGUUCUGCAUGGGAGGAGGGGACAUUUAGCGAAGGUUUCAUAAAGGAGGUGACCUCUGAACUGGAUCUUGAAGGAUGAGCUGGGGGUGGGAUGCGCCUGGCGAAGGGGAUGCCUGGAAGCCUGCACAGGGCAAGGAUGUGCCAGAUCAGAGUUAUGAAUUUGGGACCUGUGACCAAGCAGGCCUUCAUUCCUCAGUCUCUGCAGGAUUGGGCUUUCCUGUUUUUGUCAUUCUUGGUUUAUGUCAUAGGCACA